rnacentral:rRNA from 1 species
ACUGAACCAGUUGCCAAAGCCUGAUCUCAUCAGAUCUGAGAAGCUCAGCAGGGCUGGGCAGAGUUAGUACUUGGAUGGGAGACUGUAGGGAACACCAGGUGCCACAGUG